GCCAAACAAGAUGAAGAACGCAAGAUUCAUCAAUAAGGUUACUUAUCUGUGUGGUGUACUUGGGUUUGGAGGAUUUUGCUUUCUACUUGGGGCAAGGCCACAAGAUGUUCCUAUUGUGUAUUGUUUAUUUUAUGUCA